AUUGAACGCUGGCGGCAGGCCUAACACAUGCAAGUCGAGCGGAUGAAGGGAGCUUGCUCCUGGAUUCAGCGGCGGACGGGUGAGUAAUGCCUAGGAAUCUGCCUGGUAGUGGGGGAUAACGUCCGGAAACGGGCGCUAAUACCGCAUACGUCCUGCGGGAGAAAGUGGGGGAUCUUCGGACCUCACGCUAUCAGAUGAGCCUAGGUCGGAUUAGCUAGUUGGUGGGGUAAAGGCCUACCAAGGCGACGAUCCGUAACUGGUCUGAGAGGAUGAUCAGUCACACUGGAACUGAGACACGGUCCAGACUCCUACGGGAGGCAGCAGUGGGGAAUAUUGGAAAAUGGGCGAAAGCCUGAUCAAGCCAUGCCGCGUGUGUGAAGAAGGUCUUCGGAUUGUAAAGCACUUUAAGUUGGGAGGAAGGGCAGUAAGUUAAUACCUUGCUGUUUUGACGUUACCAACAGAAUAAGCACCGGCUAACUUCGUG
rnacentral:rRNA from 1 species